rnacentral:rRNA from 1 species
CUCGUGUCGUGAGAUGUUGGGUUAAGUCCCGCAACGAGCGCAACCCCUAUUGUUACGUUGCCAUUCAUUCAGUUGGGCACUCUAGCGAGACUGCCGGUAAUAAACCGGAGGAAGUGGGAUGACGUCAAAUCAUCAUGCCCCUUAUGACCUGGGCUACACACGUGCUACAAUGGUUGGUACAACGAGUUGCGAGUCGGUGACGGCGAGCUAAUCUCUUAAAGCCAAUCUCAGUUCGGAUUGUAGGCUGCAACUCGCCUACAUGAAGUCGGAAUCGCUAGCAAUCGCGGAUCAGCACGCCGCGGUGAAUACGUUCCCGGGCCUU